AGAGUUUGAUCCUGGCUCAGAACGAACGCUGGCGGCGCGCCUAAUACAUGCAAGUCGAGCGAGAAGGUGUAGCAAUACACUUGUAAAGCGGCGAACGGGUGAGGAAUACAUGGGUAAUCUACCAUCGAGUGGGGAAUAACCAACCGAAAGGUUGGCUAAUACCGCGUACGCUUCCGAAUCUUCUGGUCUGGAAGGAAAGCCGUGCUGUGAGUACGGCGCUCUUUGAUGAGCUCAUGUCCUAUCAGCUUGUUGGUAGGGUAACGGCCUACCAAGGCUUUGACGGGUAGCUGGUCUGAGAGGACGAUCAGCCACACUGGCACUGCGACACGGGCCAGACUCCUACGGGAGGCAGCAGUAAGGAAUAUUGCGCAAUGGGCGAAAGCCUGACGCAGCGACGCCGCGUGGGGGAUGAAGGUCUUCGGAUUGUAAACCCCUUUCGGGAGGGAAGAUGGAGCGAGCAAUCGUUCGGACGGUACCUCCAGAAGCAGCCACGGCCAACUUCGUGCCAGCAGCCGCGGUAAUACGAAGGUGGCAAGCGUUGUUCGGAUUCACUGGGCGUACAGGGUGUGUAGGCGGUUUGGUAAGCCUUCUGUUAAAGCUUCGGGCCCAACCCGGAAAGCGCAGAGGGUACUGCCAGGCUAGAGGGUGGGAGAGGAGCGCGGAAUUCCCGGUGUAGCGGUGAAAUGCGUAGAGAUCGGGAGGAAGGCC
rnacentral:rRNA from 1 species